ensembl:lncRNA
GGACAGACGAGACACACGUGUGUUUAUCUGCUGCAGAGAGACUGAUCAAGGAAUGCUGCCAUCAAAGCCUCUCAAUCUUUUGUGGUGGAGCAGGACUUGCAAGGAAAGGUGACAUUUGUGAAAAAAGGGAAACCCUGAAACAAAAGGAUAACCAGCAUCCUGGAAAUGGUCCAGUGACACAGAUGAGACGCUCCAUCACUCCACCUCUUACUGCCUCAUCUGGACCGGAUGUUGCUGUGGUCUCUUCAUUCUCAGUGACCCCAGAGCCAGCGAGAGCAUCUAGAGAAAGAAAGACCUGAAGCGUCUACAAUCCCCCGAUCAACCUGGAGGAAAGAGCCUUGCUCAAGGGCAUACUGAUGGUUUAGAACCCGCGACCUUCUGCUCACCAGUUCAGUGGUUUAGCCCACAACAAAAGUAGUCGUGCUCAUGGAGAGCAGACACACGAUUGAAUGAAGCUUUGUUUCAUCUGUUGUUGACUUGUAUAUGUAUGUAUUUAUUGUGAUGCUUUUAUUCAUUCCUUUACUUAUUUAUUCAUGUUUCUUAUUGUUGUCAGUAAACAAAAUAUAAAUAUUUUAUUUAUGUAUUAAUUGCUUGACUGAAAAUUCAUGUAUUCACAUCGACUGCAUUUGUUCAACUAGUGUAUAUUCAUGUAUAGCUAUGUCACGACAAAAAAAAUACAUUUAGCUUGUUUAACUAAAAUGUAAUUUUAAGGGAAAAAAAGUAAUAAUUAUUGGUUGGCAUUUAUCAUUAUUAUUGCAUGUAAGUGUUGGGGUGAGCAAACGAUGCAAUUCAUUCUGGGGUAAUCUUAAUUUUGAAGUAGUAAUAUUUACAUUUUUAGAGUAUAAAAUCUUCUCCAAAGUCAAGAUCUUCUAGCAGCUGAUCGACGUUUCCUUUGUGAUUUUACACAACCGUUCCAUAAAUAAGGAGUUAAUAUGAUGUUAUAUUUUAAAAUAUAACACAAUUCUAUGUAAGUUAUAUUACUGGGUUUUAUAUAUUAUAUACUAUAUCAUUGUGUAAUUAUAUUAUUGUGUUAUAUACAGUAUAACACAAUAUUGUCUGUUUUUGCUCUGUUUUGCCAAUAAAAAUAUUACCUAUACACUAAAGCCACAGCAGAAUUGUUGCGCAUCUCAUAGAGACACAGCUGUGUUUAGUUUUUGAAUGAAUCCGCGUUUUGAACGAAUCUGGUGAACCAAUGAUUCAAAAGCCCAUUCAUAAAGUGAGCCGUUUGAACUAAUCGAAUAAAUGAUUCAUAAGGACAUUUACCGCCACCUGCUGGCAGUUUUAGUGUCUUAUUUAGAGUAUUAUUUCACAAAAAUAAAAAAAGGGGGGGGGGGGGAAACACUUUAAAGGUAUUGUUCAUCCCAAAAAUAUUAAUUAUGUCAUCAUUUACUCAAACCUGAAUGACACUUUCUUUUGUGGAACAUAAAAGAAGGUAUUUUGAAGAUUUGGUUACCAACGACUUCCAUUGCAUAAAUGAAAAAACUGAGAUGUUUCUCAAAUUAUCUUCUUUUAUGUUGAAUAGUUUAUGUAAAGCCGUUGUAGCCUAAACGUGUAAUAAAAUUUAUGUUAAAUGAAAUAAUUUCUUUUUUGGGGGGUAUUUUCACAACCAAAUGUAGUUUGUGAUUAAUUAGAUCAAUUAAUCGACACAGUGUAAUUCAUAAGAUGAAA